ensembl:piRNA 21ur-5538 ncRNA
UGACUGAAUUUUUUUGAUAGU